UAUGCCCGGGCAGCAACUGUUGUUGGACUUUAAACGACAGAUGAAGACAAGCUGAUGAACAGAGCAGGGAAAGAGAGCACGAUGGAGAGAAGCGAGGUCAAAGYGUGAGGUCCAUAGAGAGUGGAGGAGGUAAAGAAGGAAGGAGAGAGGUAAUAGAAGGAGGUUAGACUAGACUGGUCUACGUGCAUUUUGACAGGAUGACGAAUCAGCAGCCAGUCCACCAGUCUAACAAGGCCCAUUAUGAUGAGGCKCUGCCACCCAUUGUUGGCGCUGGAGUGUUGGACUUGUUGGAACCCAAACUUCCCAAUAGUURCUUGGGAACCUACUGUGGCUUCCUCAUCCGAAACUCACUGCUCGUCCUCACUAUACUGGGUGUAAUAGCGGGGUCGCUUGUGGAUGCUGCUGCGGUAUGUUUCUGUUACAGACCCCAACACCCUGAUGCUGGUGUCCUUUCCUGGAGACAUCCUCAUGAGGAUGCUGAAGAUGCUCAUCUCCCCUCAUCAUCUCCAGCCUCAUC